AAUCAACGCUGGCGGCGUGCCUCAGACAUGCAAGUCGAACGCGAAAGUCCCCUUCGGGGGACAAGUAGAGUGGCGCACGGGUGAGUAACACGUAGGUAAUCUACCUUCGGAUGGGGAAUAACAACCGGAAACGGUUGCUAAUACCGCAUAAUGCAGCGGCACCUAAUGGUGACAGUUGUUAAAGCGGGGGAUCGAAAGACCCCGCGUCUGAAGAGGAGCCUGCGGCGGAUUAGCUAGUUGGAAGGUAAUGGCUUACCAAGGCGACGAUCCGUAGCCGGCCUGAGAGGGGCGGUCGGCCACACUGACACUGACAUACGGGUCAGACUCCUACGGGAGGCAGCAGUCGGGAAUUUUGGGCAAUGGGCGAAAGCCUGACCCAGCAACGCCGCGUGAAGGAUGAAAUCCCUCGGGAUGUAAACUUCGCAAGAACGGGAAGAAUAAGUAGGGGACAACACCCCCUAUGAUGACGGUACCGUUUGUAAGCUCCGGCUAACUCCGUGCC
rnacentral:rRNA from 1 species